rnacentral:rRNA from 1 species
AGCAUCGCGGUGGCGGAGCGUCGUUUGCGACGCCCAACACACAAAACAAGCGGUGAAUGCUUUGGGGUGGGGUGACUGCGUACCUUUUGUAUAAUGGGUCAGCGACUUAUAUUCUGUAGCAAGGUUAACCGAAUAGGGGAGCCGGAGGGAAACCGAGUCUUAAUUGGGCGUUAAGUUGCAGGGUAUAGACCCGAAACCCGGUGAUCUAGCCAUGGGCAGGUUGAAGGUUGGGUAACACUAACUGGAGGACCGAACCGACUAAUGUUGAAAAAUUAGCGGAUGACCUGUGGCUGGGGGUGAAAGGCCAAUCAAACCGGGAGAUAGCUGGUUCUCCCCGAAAGCUAUUUAGGUAGCGCCUCGUGAAUUCAUCUCCGGGGGUAGAGCACUGUUUCGGCUAGGGGGCCAUCCCGGCUUACCAACCCGAUGCAAACUGCGAAUACCGGAGAAUGUUAUCACGGGAGACACACGGCGGGUGCUAACGUCCGUCGUGAAGAGGGAAACAACCCAGACCGCCAGCUAAGGUCCCAAAGUCAUGGUUAAGUGGGAAACGAUGUGGGAAGGCCCAGACAGCCAGGAUGUUGGCUUAGAAGCAGCCAUCAUUUAAAGAAAGCGUAAUAGCUCACUGGUCGAGUCGGCCUGCGCGGAAGAUGUAACGGGGCUAAACCAU